UACGUAGGGACCAAGCGUUGUUCGGAUUUACUGGGCGUAAAGGGCGCGUAGGCGGCGUGGUAAGUCAAUUGUGAAAUCUCCGAGCUUAACUCGGAACGGUCAAUUGAUACUGCUGUGCUAGAGUACAGAAGGGGCAAUCGGAAUUCUUGGUGUAGCGGUGAAAUGCGUAGAUAUCAAGAGGAACACCUGAGGUGAAGACGGGUUGCUGGGCUGAUACUGACGCUGAGGCGCGAAAGCUAGGGUAGCAAACGGG
rnacentral:rRNA from 1 species